UCUCGGAUAGUGUAGUGGUUAUCACGUAUCCUUCACAUGCUCACAAGCUGAGAUCGGAUAAGGCCCGGGUUCAAUCCCCGGUCUGAGAA